CCUGAGUGAAAUUUAGUAGCAUGUGCUAGUGUGAAGAUAUUUGGGACAACUGGCCCAGACAGCAGAUAAAGUACACGUUCAGCAGAAAUGUCAAGCUUAGCAUACAAUUAGGUGAAGAAGGGAUGAUUUCUCCUGGCUGUGUGUGAUGUGAGUGUGAGUUAGAUGACCCUCUGUGCACUCAGCCUAUGCCCGUCAUGGGCAGGGUACAAUACCAGGUAAUGGGGUGGAUCAGGAGGCAUAUUGACCCAGACAAAAUCGAUACAGAGUCCAUGUUAUAU